rnacentral:lncRNA from 1 species
AUAAUAAAAAAUAUUAUAAUUAUUUUUUGUUGUAAUAUUAAUUUUUGCGGAUUGUAAUUACUCGAAUAUAAUAUAUUUUUAACGCUGGUUCUGGUAAACAGAAAAAUAUUUUUUUUUAUUUUAUAUGCUUUUCUGUCGAUUUUAUUUGUCUAUUUUAGUAUUAGGUUUAUUUAACACUAAUAAAUAAAAUAAAAUUGAUUUGAUUUUUUUCAAUAAAAUUGUGAAAAAAUAUAUCAUAUUCGAGUAAUUGUGAUAUGCGAACGCGAUAUUACAUGCGAAAAUGAACAUGACAACGCAAUUUCAAAGAGGGCUUAAAUCAAAAUAGUAAUAUUAAUAAAAAAAAUUGCAUGUU